UAUUUUUGAGUUCACCUGCAUAUCUGCCCUUUUGGACCAGAGAAAGCUCUAUGAGGAACAUGUUCUUCCCAUGUUCUUAUGGUACAACAGGGCUCAUAUUUUAUUGAUGGGUUUUUAAAAAUAAUGCCUUUGUACGUGCUGGAUCUCUCACCAGAACCAACAGUUCUGUAGCUCUUCAGGCGAAGCAGUGAAGAUGAGUUUCAGGGAUUACAUCCACUUCACCAGAGAGAUGCAGAGAACCUCAGCAUAUUCUAGAUGGGCUUCCCCUCUGCAAUUUAUGAUGAAAUCUGACUUCAGGGCGAGUUUGCAGCCUCCUUUCUGCCUCUCCUCUGGUUUCCCGGUAGCAGACCCUUGUCUCCCUUCAGACCUGGGCUCCCCCAGCUCAG